rnacentral:lncRNA from 1 species
CAAUAACAGGCUCUCAUUUUUGAGGAAGUAUCAAACAAAUUAAAAGGGGUGGACAUAGUCAAGAUGGCGACUUAGAAGUGGCAAAAGUCAAUUCCUCUGUGAAAACUCUUCUACACCAAUCAAAAACAAAGCACUUCCAGGGGGACAGAAAACCAAAUCCAACAAGAAGACAGAACUGAGGGAUCUUACUCCUCAAUUCAACUUAAAAGGAACUGUUCUUGAAUAUCUGCUGAAGGGAAAGGAAGAUGACCACAUGGAAGCUAUGAACUUAUUUCUUAAGAUUCCAGAAGUAGAAGUUUUCCUUCCUCUGGACUCCCUAUUCAGAUUAAUUCUAAGUUUUCUAGGCAGCUCUACAAUUUAUAUGUGCCAGAGAAGGUGCCAACAUGCAUCGAUAGUUUCUUUACCUGAGUUUCCUGUGCCAUUGAAAUGAAAGAUGAGUAAAUUGAGACUUAAAAGUCAAUUGGCUUGCUCAAGAUUAUAUAGUCAUUCAGUAUUGAGGGUACUAAAUCUUCAGUCAAUGAGUACAAUGCCAUUUGUGAGCACAAACAUUUGGAGGACUCUGCUUUUACCAGAGGAUUGUUCUAUUUGGAUAGGAUUUUGGAAGCAGUAUGAAGAUGAUUUACUGAUUUAG